GACAGAGGGUGCAAGCGUUGUUCGGAAUCAUUGGGCGUAAAGGGCGCGUAGGCGGUUUGGUAAGUCGGAUGUGAAAGCCCAGGGCUCAACCUUGGAAGUGCAUCCGAAACUGCCGAACUGGAGUCCCGGAGAGGGUGGUGGAAUUCCCAGUGUAGAGGUGAAAUUCGUAGAUAUUGGGAGGAACACCGGUGGCGAAGGCGACCGCCUGGACGGAGACUGACGCUGAGGCGCGAAAGCGUGGGGAGCAAACAGG
rnacentral:rRNA from 1 species